rnacentral:rRNA from 1 species
GGAGGGGGGGCCAGCGUUGUUCGGAAUCAUUGGGCGUAAAGGGCGCGUAGGCGGGCGAUGCAAGUCGGGAGGGUGAAAUCCCUCGGCUCAACCGAGGAACUGCCCCCGAUACUGCAUGGCUUGAGUCCCGGAGAGGGUAGCGGAAUUCCCAGUGUAGCGGUGAAAUGCGUAGAUACUGGGAGGAACACCAGUGGCGAAGGCGGCUACCUGGACGGGUACUGACGCUGAGGCGCGAAAGCGUGGGGAGCAAACAGGAUUAGAUACCCUGGUAGUCCACGCUGUAAACGUUGGGCACUUGGUGUUGCGGGUAUCGACCCCUGCAGUGCCGAAGCUAACGCAUUAAGUGCCCCGCCUGGGGAGUACGGUCGCAAGGCUA